GGUAGUGUGGCCGAAUGGUUUAAGGUGCUGGACUUAGGCUCCAGACUCUCAGGAGGAGUGGGUUCAAAUCCCACCACUGCCA